UGUUGUAGCUACGCGAGCGGUUCAGGCCCACACUAAAAAAUGGGGGACUCAAACCAAGUGGAGGCGUGGUUCCACAUUUUAAAAAAUGAUUAUAAAUAAUUUAAAAAUGUCCAAUUAGUAAAAGAUCCACAAUAAAACCACAACGGGACUAGAGCUCACCUUCAACAGAGACCUGGUUACUCAAACAAAACAAACACACAGAAAAACCCAAUCACAUUCAAAAAUAAAAUCCAACCCAGGAGAAUACAACACAAAAACACACAACCAAAACAUUCACUUGAGUACCAGUCACUGUUGCAGCAGCUCUAAAAUAAUAAAACUAAUGAAAAAAAUAAAUAAAACAGCAGCGGGUUCCACCUAAAUGACCAUUUAGGAAGAGGGAGGGAGUGAUUCGCUCCAUUCAAAUUCACUUUUACCCAGUCGCACGCUGAUCCGCGGUGCGACUAGUGAUUCUGGACACCACUGCACUGGCAGUGGCACGAGAGAAAGGGAGGGAGUCUCAGCCCAGAAUCAGGAAGAGCCCGCUCAGUCCCAUUUUUAUAGCUGGCCAGGGGCUUGUUAGCAGCACCUGAGUGGGAGUGACUACACCUAUGCAUCCUAAUCAGUGUGUUUUGGAUUGUAGCCCCCUGUACGACUGAGUUUUACCUCCCUGGUGUAAAACAAAGAAUGAUGAGAAAUGAAGGCAAACUUACUCCAUGCUAACUGUCCUGGCCACAACUUAGAGACCAACUUCUGAUGAUCCCCAGCCGCUCUGCAGAAACUAUGUCCUAGAAAAUGACACAGGUUUUUAAUUUUGUCUAAAAAUGCCAUAAUCAUACUUAAAAGACCACUGGGAAUGCUUUUACAAAAAGAUAAAAAAUGAUGGGACUUCAAAGUUUGUUUGAAAAAAAACCCUGAUCAGUGAGUAGAGGAUGGUUGUGUAAAAUAAAAACACAUGGUGAAACCCUGUCAUGCUGCCAUGGUGAUGUAACACUUGAUCUACCUCACAUGCUGUUUUAAUGUUAAAAUUAGUCCAUAUGUUUCUUUUGUAUGACUUUCUGCAAAAUGUGUCUUUUAAAGACCGGCAAGUGGUAGUUGUAGUAGAUUGCUAGUAGAUCCAACAUGUUAUGGAGAAGCAUUCUCUUUCAACUAAAUGAAUCCACUACUUUCAUUUAAACUGAUUUUUCAAUCGACCUCUUUUCUCUCUCUUUUUUUUUUGUUGACAUCAAAACUCCAGUCCAUCUGUGGUUGGCCUCCAUUAUUACUGUGUCAAAUUGAUGAAGGCAUAUUGGUGACAAGAAACCAAAUAUGAUCAGAUGGAGGAUGGGCAUGACUGUUUUAAUUUACAGUUUAUCUACAUAUCCUUUUUGAUUAUCCUUCAUAUUUAAUUUUUAAAAAGUAAUUGAAUCAAUUAUUGAAAAGAGGUGCGGCUGCCUUCUGUCAACAUGUGGGAAAGAAACAACAAAAGUACAAUUUCAAACAUGUCCUGGACUUUGUUGUGUCCAAGUUUAUGUCUGGUCAAGAGCUAAUAGAAAUGGGCUCUUGUGGUAUGUGUACACACUGCAAAUAAACAGAAGAAGUGAUGAUUCUAAAUCUUAAACUUCCGAAAAAUAAAAAUCUAAGUCACUGACAAAAAACAUUACUUCUAAAUUGGGGUAAUGUUGGAAAUGAGGACAAAUUUCUCCGUUCAAAUCAGUUUCUUUUGCUCAUAUGUAACAACUGAAUGAAAAUGUUUAAAACUCCCUUAUGUGUUUUUUAUUUUAUUUAUUUAUUUUGAAGUAGGAAGCAUUAAUUGCAACAUUCUGCAAAACAAUAAAAAUUAAAAAAAAACAUGCAUAACAUUUGCAACAGAAAAGACGUUCAUCAGCACCAGCAUGUGUUUCUCUGGAAAAACACAACUGGAGCUCUUGAUGGGAUGUCCUGAAUCAGUGACUCAAGCUCCACUCAGCAAGGGGGCCAUACUGCUAAUUCCUCGCAUGCCUUCUCCCCAGGACACCUCCUUUUCACAUCAAACAACUCUCUCCCUCUCUCGAACUAAUUUAAUGUUGUGUUGUGUUUUUCCCUGCUCUCUAAGAGCUGGUCUGAAUGGCUGACGUUGAUGAAUGAUACGUAAAGGAUACGCUGCAGCCGCUCCAGAUCAUUUGGAUUUACUGAGCAAGCAGCACACAUGCAAUGUCCCCAGAUGGACACUCCCACCCUGGUCUUUAGCAAGAAUGAGCUUUGGUUUUGAUAAUAAAAAACACCAACCCUUGCAUCCAGCUGUUUUUAUGGGUCCUGUGUAUUUUUAUUUGACUGUUUUUCAAACAAGAAAUGAAUUGCUUGUAUGCACACAAUCAAUAGUUGUUAAUUUUUUAGGGCUUCUGGCUUUUAGCAAGAGGAAUUAUCUUUGCUUUGUUGGAAAUGAUAAGUCUUGACCAAGUUUGACAAAAACUAUCUUCUAAAAACUAUUAGUAAAAAAACUGUUUUAUACUUAUUAAAAUUAUGCCUUUUUGGAAAGCAAUGCCUGCUAAUACUGAGUGAAAUAUCCGCUACCACUGAAACUUGCCUGCUUAUGAUAAUAUCUAAAAAGAUUUGUGAUGGCUUUUUGUGUAACUUAUAAGUUUGGACUAAGAAAUGCAGAACUGGCUUCUGCACAAAUACAUGAGGGACACUGGAGCCCAUUACAAUGGAUCCACAAAGUUUCCACAGUAAGAAUAAAUAAAGCAAAAUUACCAAAUUGUGAUCUAAAUUAACAAAUUGAGAAACAAAAAAAGAAAAAAGAAGAAUUGUCCAUCAUUACACGGAAACACAAGACACAGCUUCUGGGAUACUUCAGAAAUGUGGUGAGUCUCCCCUGGGGGGCCCUGGCUCGUACCUGGGAUGGGGCAGGGGGGAUGCUCUGUACUGCUGGGUGGUGGUGUGCUGCUCGUUUGGGGCUGGGGUGCUCUCCGGGGAUGGGGUCUCACGCUGGCCAUCCUGGGUCCUGCACUUUCUGUGUUCCUGUGCCUUCUUGGGGGCCUCUGCGGCGGUCCCACGCGCCCUGGUCUGGGUACUUGGCGGGAUUACCCGGCGGGCGGGUUUCCCUCUGUGGCCCCAUGGCGGGUGUAGGGGGGUCCUGGGUCGUAUCUGAUUGCUCAGCUGUUGGACAGGACAUGUUAAAAAAGAAGAAUUAUAGAUAAAUUAAAAAAA